rnacentral:lncRNA from 1 species
CUGAUCAGAAAUUGUGGACCACACAUAGUUAUGAAGAUGACAAAGCAACAGCUAAUUUCUGCGUAAUUAACGACCGCAGGAGUAAUGAAGUAAUUUCACGUUCUAAUCUAAAAAGUCCUAGCAGGAGGACACAAAACCCAAACUCAUCGAACAAUCUUUCCUUUCACAAGAAAUUUUGAAAUAAUCUAAUUGAAAACCAAAACAAGAAAUAUGAGCUGACAACAAACUUCAACUGAAAUACUUCAUCCAUACAAAGCAAAGCAUCAUAUAUAAUAUGUUGAAGAAAGAAAAAUGGCUACAAGGCUGGUUUGAGAAUCAAACCAAGAAAAUUCUAGAGGGUAAAGCAUUCCUGGAGUCGAUGAGUGCUGAUGCGGGUUAAGGCUUGAACUGAAUAUCAUGAUUGGGACCACCACAUUUCUUUGUGUAGGGGAAGAGUAAGAGAAGGAUGAACAAGGUGGCAAACAGCAGAACCAGAACCAGCAUCAUAAUCUCACCGUGGACAGCAAACUUUGGGUCACUGAUGAGGACGUCGUGAAGCUGAUCGUUUUGAAACUGAUCAUUGGGGGCCAAUGAAGACCAGAAAGGAUCCGGAGCAGCUGCCAUGUUGAUCAAUAAAGCUGCAGAGAAUUAGGUCAUGCUGCUAUGAGUUUCGUCUAUUAUAUAACGUUUGGUUGGCUGGUCUCCAGAGGUUAACGUUGUUAGCAGGUGGAAAAUGAUUAGGUGAUGGAUCUGUCUGCCGACAGAAAGAGAAUGGAAUUG